AGAUCUUAGCACAUCACACCUGCCCCGUGACUCCCCCCGGCUCCAGCUGGGCCUGUCGUUUGCCAGGCACUGUGGUACGUUGCCCUGUUGAUGGGAGACAGCUGUGGGGGCGAGAACGAGGGUGUCUGUUCGUGGUUCUCUGCGUGGUCCCAGGACCGUGGGCACGUCGGUGUGUUCCCAGAAUGCUCAGCGUGGCUCCAGACUGACUUUAUGUGUUGGGUUGACUGGGUCACGGGAUGCUCGGGGAAGCGUUAGACGUUAUCCUGGGUGUGUCUGUGACGGUGGCUCGUGAUGACCGUAGCAUUCGAACAGGUGUCUGGAGUAAAGCAGAUUGCCCUCUGCAGCGUGGGUGGGCCUCCUCCCGUCCACUGAGGGCCUGGAUGGAAGGCUGAGGCAGAGGAGGGGAGAGCUCACUCUCUCUGCCUGGCUGUUGAGCUGGAAUGUCGGUCUUCUCCUGCCCUUGGCGAGGUCUUACACCGUCGCUCUCCCCCGUGCUCCCCCACGUGGACUGGAGCGACGCCACCCUCUUUCCUCGGCUUCCGUUUGCAGACGGCAGAUUGUGGGACUUCUUGGCUCCCAUAAUCAGAUGUUUUAAGAAGACCCUUAAGACUCCACCAAAAUCUAUACUUAGGUAAACUCUCUCACUCUCCAGCUCUGCUACAAACAUUCUGGAAAGAGUUCCCUGUCUGAGCAGAGGGUCAAGCAGGGGCUACGUGAGCACCUAGCAUCCCGUGCAUGGAAUCAAAGAUGGAAAACUAAAUUCUAGAUGGACACCAUUACUUUGCACUUCGUCCUGGAAAAGAAAUUGAAUGUUUUAUCAGAGAACUUACAGUACUUUAUUUGAAAAUAAUAGGAGGGCGCCCAUGGCUUGAGUUGAUCCUUUAGAAAAUGUUCACAGCUGUUAAUCCACGGGGAAGAAGUGGGGCAAAUGGUCAUUGGUGCAUUAGAGUCCAACUUUCUGAUAUUCACGACUGGAUGUUUUUAUUCUCUCAUUCUCUCCUUUUCAACUGUUUGUAGUGUUCACACCUUUGGAUGAAAUGGUCCCAACAUACACAACUUCAAAUUCUAUGUCCCCACAAAAGUACUGUUCACGGUUGAUAUGGGCUAAACUGUCCUGCACUCCCACAAACUCGUAUGUUGAAGUCCUAACCCCCAAUGGGACUGUACUUGGAAGUGAGACCUUCAAAGAGGUAAUUAGGUUAAAUGAGGUCAUAAAGGUGGGUCCUCGUCUCAUAGGAUUUGUGUCUGUAUGAGAAGAGAUACCAGAUAAGCAUCUGACUCUUGGUUUCAGCUCCGGUCACGAUCUCACGGUUGUAGGAUCAAGACCCACAUCUGGCUCCACACUGAGCGUGAAGCCUGCUUAAGAUUCUCUCUCUCUCUCUCUCUCUCUGCCCCUUUCUGCCCCUCUCCCCCACUAGCACUGUCUCCAAAAUAGACAUUAAAAAUAAAAUAAAUAAAAAAACAUUAAAAGAAGAAGAAGAGACACAAGAGAUAUCUGUCUCUUCACAUUCAUACUCAGAAGGUCAUGUGAGGACACAGGUGAAGGUGGCCAUCUACAGGGCCAAGGGGGAGGUCUCGCCAGAUGUCAACCCUGGUGAUACCUUGAUCUUGUAUUUCUGACCUCUAGCACCAGGAGAAAAUAAUUUCGUGUGGUUUAAGCUGGAACGUAGUACGUUAUU